GACGAACGCUGGCGGCGUGCCUAAUACAUGCAAGUAGAACGCUGAAGGAGGAGCUUGCUCUUCUGGAUGAGUUGCGAACGGGUGAGUAACGCGUAGGUAACCUACCUGGUAGCGGGGGAUAACUAUUGGAAACGAUAGCUAAUACCGCAUAACAGUAGAUGUUGCAUGACAUUUGCUUAAAAGGUGCAAUUGCACCACUACCAGAUGGACCUGCGUUGUAUUAGCUAGUUGGUGGGGUAACGGCUCACCAAGGCGACGAUACAUAGCCGACCUGAGAGGGUGAUCGGCCACACUGGGACUGAGACACGGCCCAGACUCCUACGGGAGGCAGCAGUAGGGAAUCUUCGGCAAUGGACGGAAGUCUGACCGAGCAACGCCGCGUGAGUGAAGAAGGUUUUCGGAUCGUAAAGCUCUGUUGUAAGAGAAGAACGAGUGUGAGAGUGGAAAGUUCACACUGUGACGGUAUCUUACCAGAAAGGGACGGCUAACUACGUG
rnacentral:rRNA from 1 species